rnacentral:rRNA from 1 species
GAUGAACGCUGGCGGCGUGCCUAAUACAUGCAAGUCGAGCGAAUGGAUUAAGAGCUUGCUCUUAUGAAGUCAGCGGCGGACGGGUGAGUAACACGUGGGUAACCUGCCCAUAAGACUGGGAUAACUCCGGGAAACCGGGGCUAAUACCGGACAACAUUUUGAACCGCAUGGUUCGAAAUUGAAAGGCGGCUUCGGCUGUCACUUAUGGAUGGACCCGCGUCGCAUUAGCUAGUUGGUGAGGUAACGGCUCACCAAGGCAACGAUGCGUAGCCGACCUGAGAGGGUGAUCGGCCACACUGGGACUGAGACACGGCCCAGACUCCUACGGGAGGCAGCAGUAGGGAAUCUUCCGCAAUGGACGAAAGUCUGACGGAGCAACGCCGCGUGAGUGAUGAAGGCUUUCGGGUCGUAAAACUCUGUUGUUAGGGAAGAACAAGUGCUAGUUGAAUAAGCUGGCACCUUGACGGUACCUAACCAGAAAGCCACGGCUAACUACGUGCCAGCCGCCGCUGUAA